rnacentral:lncRNA from 10 species
AAUUACCAUAUUUACCUGGGAAUUUCUGGACUCUUUAUUCUGGUGGCUUCUUGGCUUCAUAAGUCUUGAUAUCUAAUAAGAUGUUCUCGUAUCUUAUUUGUGUUUAUCUUAUUUACUUUUAAUUGACAAAUAAUAAUUUUAUAUAUUUAUUGUGUACAAUAUGACUUAGAAUGUGUAUACAUUGUGGAAUGGCUCAAUUGAGCUAAUUAACAUAUGCUUUACCUCAAAUAAUUUAUCUUUUUUUAUAGUGAGAACACUUAAAAUCUGCUCUCUUAGCAAUUUUCAAAAUGCAAUACAUCGUUAUUAACUGUAGUCGCCAUGUUGUACAAUAUAUCUCUUGAACUUUUUUCUGCUGUCUUAUGGAAAUGUUAUGUCCUUUGACAUCACUUCAAACUGCCCCCCAGACCUCCUGCCAUUCUUUUAAAAUAUUGCUUUGGCUAAUCUUCAGUCUUAUCUUGUCCAUAUGAGUUCCAUGAAAAAUUUUGCUCUGUUGAAUUUAUAGAUUAUCUUGGGAAGAAUCAACGUCUUUAUAAAUUUAAGUUUCUGUGAACAUGUUAUGGCUUCUCAUGUAUUUAUAUCUUCUUUGAUGUCAAUAUAUCUUAUAUAUUUUUAAUUAAUUAUAUUUUAAUAAUCUAGUCACCUUACGCUUUUUGUUGCCAUUAAAAUUAAUGGUAUCUUUUAAAAAUUUGUUUCAUUUUAAAUUUAUUUGGUUUUACAUAAAAUUAAUUUUUAUAUUUACCUUAUAUCUUACAACCUUGUUAUACCCAUUUGCUUUUUAUUUUCCAGAAAGUCUUCAACAUUUUUUGUUCUAAUGACACCCUUUCUGAGUUGCUAAUAGUCUUAUUAACUUAUAUAUUUCUUUAUUUUUGUUUCU